CAAGAGAGGUCAGCCGUUCCCCACCCUCUCCAUCUCUUCAGCCGCAACCUGCAUAAAAAAUGACAGUAAAGAGAGAGCUUAGGCAAAAAUAGCCGCUGCUCAUCUCCUUCUUCCUCAAGAAUCCAAAACCAAUAAAAAAAGCCCAAUCCCCCCAACAUUUUAAUCUCCUAAUACAUAAAAAGAGAAGCAGUCGCCCACCCAUUAUCGGAAAUCAUCUUGGAGGAUUAAGCCUAUCCAUAGAAGAACAGUAGCAACAACAAGAAGGAUGGUAAUUGUUGUCCAUUUCAGCGCGAUGAUCCAGAUUUGAACCACUGAAAUUAAACCCUCUUGUUUAUUGUCAAAUAAAAGAAGAUUUGACACUGAUCAUACCUGAAAAGAAAAGCUCUUUGUCGUCCCUAACUUCCAAAAAGUAAAAUACACCCUAAGUAUAUUUCUCUAACCCACACAGCCCCAAAAUUCAUUGGAACACUAACCCGAGACCCAUUUGUUGUAGCUGAUACUUCUCAGUCCAACGUCUCCAUCCAUAGCUUUGGUCGGGUUCAAGGUCGCAGUUCGAUCUAGCCGGUGAGAUCUCCGUUUAGCGGUUCCGGCUCUGGUCAGAGAUUCAUUCUUGUUCGAAUUUUGAAGGAAACAGUCAAGCAAUUAUAAAGAUGAAGAAUCUGCUGAUAUUGUUCAGGAGUAAAGACAGGAGUAGGACGUGGCAUUUGCUAGAAGAAAGUAGGUUGAUUUGCUGGUUGUGGAACACCUGAAUUAGAGCGACUUCCUCCUCUGCCUUGUUGAGUCACACUAGAAGCUACAUUCUUGCCCAUAAUAUAUCUAUCUAUAUAGUUCACCUCUGCACCAUACACUUGAUUUGCAUACUGUCAAGUAUUGAUUCCCUUCUUUUUGGAUUUGAAAUCCGGAGGAUAUCCAACUAGCUUAUAGCAUUUUUCCUUGUAUGUACCUUGUAGUAGCAAUAUUCACAUUGAACUUGCCUCCUCUUUAGUUGUAGUUUUUAGUAUUAUUUGUGUUCUUGCUGCUAUACACUUGUGUCAUAUUUGCAAGGUUUCUUUUGCUUU